rnacentral:rRNA from 1 species
UACAGAGGUCUCAAGCGUUGUUCGGAUUCAUUGGGCGUAAAGGGUGCGUAGGCGGCGCGGUAAGUCGGGUGUGAAAUCUCGGAGCUUAACUCCGAAACUGCAUUCGAUACUGCCGUGCUUGAGGACGGGAGAGGAGACUGGAAUUUACGGUGUAGCGGUGAAAUGCGUAGAUAUCGUAAGGAAGACCAGUGGCGAAGGCGGCUCACUGGCCCGAUACUGACACUGAGGCACGAAAGCGUGGGGAGCAAACAGG